GUUUGUGGCGACCAGUGUUGGGUGAGUGGGGGCAGCCGUUGAGACCUCCGUUGGGCACGAGGCGGUAGUGCGGAUAGCGAUGCCCGUUCAUUCCUGUGAGGAGAAAAGGGUAGCAAGAACAAGCCCGUGUCCCAAAUAGAAUGUAUUGUGAAUCCCAAGCAAUGAAAUGGUCGAAUGGGUAUGCAAACUAGCGACCGGGAAGUUGUAGAUACGUGUUAUGCAUGUAUUAAAAAAAAUACCUAAUGUCGCUGAUCGCACAGGCCCAUGAACUGUGGUCGCUUCGUCUUCAUCUGAAGAGUGUGACGAAGCCAAUUCCAGCGUUCUUUCACCAUCGGAACUUCCAUCGUCAUCAGAAUUUGAGCGCUUACGUCGUUUGCCAUGAUGUUUUCUGUCAACUUCAUCCCCAUAUUUUACUGCAAACAAUUAUCAACAAUUUGCAAAUGACACCACAGAUUAUUUAAGCUUUAUUGUAACCACCACCACCACAGGAUUAUUAACAUCUAGUCAAGGAAGCCACUGUUCCGUGAGAUGGAUUUAAAGGAGACUCUAAUUUGACUGUUUAAACUACAUCUGAGCUUACCUCGGUAGUGUGGCAAAGUAGCUCCAUAACCAUAAGGGCUGCUGGAUGUCUUCGUCGUGGAGCGGCUUGUUGUCGAUGCAGUUGAUACGCCAGAUCGUAUAUUUCUGAACAUGUCCUUUUUCCUGGGAUCAUCCCUACCUGCGACUCCCAAAUCUGUCCUGUACACCAAUGCCGAUCUCUACAAAGACAACGACCAAAUAAAUGUAUAAAUUCUUACGGAGGCAUUUUGCUGAGCGAUUGGAUCCCUUGAGCGGAACAGAGCUCCUGAAAACAAUAAUUACGACAUUUUUUAACAUUUGACAAUUGAUUGAAGUCCUGAAUGAAUAAAAUGUAUAACUUUCAUUACAUGUGAACUUGAUUAAUAAUUAGUUUUUAAAAAUUCGCCGUGCUCAUGACACAUGAAACAAAAGGACUUGACUUGCAUUCCAUCGUUACUUUAGUCUUAACAUAAUACGUAUUUGUGUCAUUUUGAAAUGUGAAUUAUAAUAAAUAGUACUUACCA